UCAAGCGAACAAGUGCAUGUGGUGGAUGCCUUGGCGAUCACAGGCGAUGAAGGACGCGGUAGCCUGCGAAAAGCUUCGGGGAGCUGGCAAACGAGCUUUGAUCCGGAGAUGUCCGAAUGGGGAAACCCGGCCCGUAUGGGUCAUCCCACACUGAAUCCAUAGGUGUGGGAAGCGAACGCGGCGAACUGAAACAUCUAAGUAGCUGCAGGAACAGAAAUCAACCGAGAUUCCCAAAGUAGUGGCGAACGAAAUGGGAAGAGCCUUGUACUCUUUAGCAGUGGUGUUAGCAGAACGGGAUGGAAAGCCCGGCCAUAGCAGGUGAUAGCCCUGUAUGCGAAAACACGAUUGUGGAACUAGGUGUACGACAAGUAGGGCGGGACACGUGAAAUCCUGUCUGAAGAUGGGGGGACCAUCCUCCAAGGCUAAAUACUCGUGAUCGACCGAUAGUGAACCAGUACCGUGAGGGAAAGGCGAAAAGAACCCCGGGAGGGGAGUGAAAUAGAUCCUGAAACCGCAUGCAUACAAACAGUCGGAGCCCUUUCGGGGGUGACGGCGUACCUUUUGUAUAAUGGGUCAGCGACUUACAUUCAGUGGCAAGCUUAACCGAUUAGGGAAGGCGUAGCGAAAGCGAGUCCGAACAGGGCGUUGAGUCGCUGGGUGUAGACCCGAAACCAGAUGAUCUAUCCAUGGCCAGGUUGAAGGUGCGGUAACACGUACUGGAGGACCGAACCCACUAACGUUGAAAAGUUAGGGGAUGAGCUGUGGAUAGGGGUGAAAGGCUAAACAAAUCUGGAAAUAGCUGGUUCUCUCCGAAAACUAUUUAGGUAGUGCCUCGUGUCUCACCUUCGGGGGUAGAGCACUGUCAUGGUUGGGGGGUCUAUUGCUGAUUACCCCGCCAUAGCAAACUCCGAAUACCGAAGAGUGCAAUCACGGGAGACAGACAUCGGGUGCUAACGUCCGGUGUCAAGAGGGAAACAACCCAGACCGCCAGCUAAGGUCCCCAAGAUUGGCUAAGUGGGAAACGAAGUGGGAAGGCUAAAACAGUCAGGAGGUUGGCUUAGAAGCAGCCACCCUUUAAAGAAAGCGUAAUAGCUCACUGAUCGAGUCGUCCUGCGCGGAAGAUGUAACGGGGCUAAGCCAGUCACCGAAGCUGCGGACGCACGCAAGUGCGUGGUAGGAGAGCGUUCUGUAAGCCUGUGAAGGUGUCUUGUAAAGGAUGCUGGAGGUAUCAGAAGUGCGAAUGCUGACAUGAGUAGCGAUAAAGGGGGUGAAAGGCCCCCUCGCCGUAAGCCCAAGGUUUCCUACGCAACGUUCAUCGGCGUAGGGUGAGUCGGCCCCUAAGGCGAGGCAGAGAUGCGUAGCUGAUGGGAAGCAGGUUAAUAUUCCUGCACCGUCGUAUGAUGCGAUGGGGGGACGGAUCGCGGAAGGUUGUCCGGGUGUUGGAAGUCCCGGUCCCUGCAUUGGAGAAGGCGCUCAGGCAAAUCCGGGCGCGGGAUUCAAGGAUGUGGGGCGAGCGGCCUAGUGCUGCGAAGCAAUUGGAAGUGGUUCCAAGAAAAGCCUCUAAGCUUCAGUCAUACGAGACCGUACCGCAAACCGACACAGGUGGGCGAGAUGAGUAUUCUAAGGCGCUUGAGAGAACUCGGGAGAAGGAACUCGGCAAAUUGGUACCGUAACUUCGGGAUAAGGUACGCCCUGGUAGCUUGACUGGCCUGCGCCAGAAGGGUGAAGGGGUUGCAAUAAAAUGGUGGCUGCGACUGUUUAAUAAAAACACAGCACUCUGCAAACACGAAAGUGGACGUAUAGGGUGUGACGCCUGCCCGGUGCCGGAAGAUUAAAUGAUGGGGUGCAAGCUCUUGAUUGAAGUCCCGGUAAACGGCGGCCGUAACUAUAACGGUCCUAAGGUAGCGAAAUUCCUUGUCGGGUAAGUUCCGACCUGCACGAAUGGCGUAACGAUGGCCACACUGUCUCCUCCCGAGACUCAGCGAAGUUGAAGUGUUUGUGAUGAUGCAAUCUCCCCGCGGCUAGACGGAAAGACCCCAUGAACCUUUACUGUAGCUUUGCAUUGGACUUUGAACCGAUCUGUGUAGGAUAGGUGGGAGGCUUUGAAGCGUGGACGCCAGUUCACGUGGAGCCGUCCUUGAAAUACCACCCUGGUUUGUUUGAGGUUCUAACCUUGGCCCGUGAAUCCGGGUCGGGGACAGUGCAUGGUAGGCAGUUUGACUGGGGCGGUCUCCUCCCAAAGUGUAACGGAGGAGUUCGAAGGUACGCUUGGUACGGUCGGACAUCGUACCUAAAGUGCAAUGGCAAAAGCGUGCUUAACUGCGAGACCGACAAGUCGAGCAGGUGCGAAAGCAGGACAUAGUGAUCCGGUGGUUCUGAAUGGAAGGGCCAUCGCUCAACGGAUAAAAGGUACUCUGGGGAUAACAGGCUGAUACCGCCCAAGAGUUCAUAUCGACGGCGGUGUUUGGCACCUCGAUGUCGGCUCAUCUCAUCCUGGGGCUGUAGCCGGUCCCAAGGGUAUGGCUGUUCGCCAUUUAAAGAGGUACGUGAGCUGGGUUUAAAACGUCGUGAGACAGUUUGGUCCCUAUCUGCCGUGGGCGUUGGAAUCUUGACGGGGGCUGCUCCUAGUACGAGAGGACCGGAGUGGACGUACCGCUGGUGUACCUGUUGUCUCGCCAGAGGCAUCGCAGGGUAGCUAUGUACGGAAGAGAUAACCGCUGAAAGCAUCUAAGCGGGAAACUCGCCUGAAGAUGAGGAUUCCCUGGAGGCUUGACCUCCUUGAAGGGUCGUUCGAGACCAGGACGUUGAUAGGCUGGGUGUGGAAGCGCAGUAAUGCGUUAAGCUAACCAGUACUAAUUGCCCGUAAGGCUUGAUCCU
rnacentral:rRNA from 2 species